GUGUGCCCCAGGAGAGCCAGGUCAGUCAGAAGGCAGUGGACUCAGCACUUCAGUCUGUACCCAGCUAGGCUCACAUCUCCAGGAAUGUUCUUGAGAACUGAUACUGUCCGGAUGAAACAUUCUGCCCUGCUUGCUGAUGUGACCUUGGGCCAGGCUUGUCUCCCAGAGGGCCUUGGUUUUCUCCUCGGCACAGUGAGCCAGGCCACAGCAGAGAUGCAGAAUCUGAACUCUUCCCACUGUCUGUCUGGGAUCACUUGGCUGUGCAGAAGCGUGUACUCAGGAAAGGGAAUGAGUCGCACACUGUGUACUCCUGCCAUUCCUUGCCUCUGAUGGAUGCACGAUCAUUAGGAAUGGCUUAAGUGGCAGGAAGAAGGAUUUGGGGCAGACCUUGAGGAACCGGCAGGUUUGUUUUUGCCUGGACUGGGUCAUGUCCUGUUUGGGUGUCCAAAGUUUGCUGCAGCUAAAAAAAAAAAAAAAAA
rnacentral:lncRNA from 1 species